rnacentral:misc_RNA from 1 species
GUAAGAUCUAGCUAGAUUUAUGCAUGCUUUUAUUGUAAAAAUCAUUCCAUCAAGGCGAAGUUGUUAUCUAAUUAUUUUAGUUUUCAUAUUAAAUAAUAUAAAAUCAUUCAUGACAGUAAAUGAAUGAAGUAAAUAGACUACAUUGACACAGCGUACUUUAAGGAAAACUCAAACUCAAAACACAGAGAGACUUAUGAGAGAAAAAUGAUCUGCUGGAAUUUUAUUGCUGAAAUUCUUUACUGAAAUACAUGAAAAUAAGGGG